UGGGGAAUAUUGCACAAUGGGCGCAAGCCUGAUGCAGCCAUGCCGCGUGUGUGAAGAAGGCCUUCGGGUUGUAAAGCACUUUCAGCGAGGAGGAAGGUGGUGAGCUUAAUACGCUCAUCAAUUGACGUUACUCGCAGAAGAAGCACCGGCUAACUCCGUGCCAGCAGCCGCGGUAAUACGGAGGGUGCAAGCGUUAAUCGGAAUUACUGGGCGUAAAGCGCACGCAGGCGGUUUGUUAAGUCAGAUGUGAAAUCCCCGGGCUCAACCUGGGAACUGCAUUUGAAACUGGCAAGCUAGAGUCUCGUAGAGGGGGGUAGAAUUCCAGGUGUAGCGGUGAAAUGCGUAGAGAUCUGGAGGAAUGCCGGUGGCGAAGGCGGCCCCCUGGACGAAGACUGACGCUCAGGUGCGAAAGCGUGGGGCAGCAAACAGGAUUAGAUACCCUGGUAGUCCACGCUGUAAACGAUGUCGAUUUUGGAGGUUGUGCCCUUGAGGCGUGGCUUCCGGAGCUAACGCGUUAAAUCGACCGCCUGGGGAGUACGGCCGCAAGGUUAAAACUCAAAGG
rnacentral:rRNA from 1 species